rfam:Cavia porcellus supercont2_28 genomic scaffold, whole genome shotgun sequence.
GAGUGUGAGGGCAAUGUAAUUGCAACUCUUAUUAUCCCAUUGGUUUGCAGGUGUCAUUUUGCUGAUCUGGGUGAGUGUCCUUUUCCUCAUCUUUUCACAUGUAUGACCUUCAUUGGUAGAGAAGGACCAUUUUCAGUAAAGGUAUAUAAGUAGCUGUACUUUUCUUGUUAGAACUUCCAAACAAGCUCUCAAAGUCCAUUUGUAGGAAAAAUGAAAAGAGAAAAACUUGUGAUCUUGAUGAAAUCAAGUUUAUUCUU